GACGAACGCUGGCGGCGUGCUUAACACAUGCAAGUCGAACGAAGUGGCGAACGGGCGAGUAACGCGUAAUCAAACUGCCCUUCAGAGGGGGACAACAGUUGGAAACGACUGCUAAUACCGCAUACUGAAGGCGGGGCUUGCGUCUGAUUAGCUAGUUGGAGGGGUAACGGCCCACAAAGGCGAUGAUCAGUCGCCGGUCUGAGAGGAUGAUCGGCCACACUGGGACUGAGACACGGCCCAGACUCCUACGGGAGGCAGCAGUGGGGAAUCUUCCGCAAUGGACGAAAGUCUGACGGAGCAACGCCGCGUGAGUGAUGACGGCCUUCGGGUUGUAAAGCUCUGUUGUAAGAGAAGCGGUAUCUAACCAGAAAGCAACGGCUAACUACGUGCCAGCAGCCGCGGUAAUAC
rnacentral:rRNA from 1 species